rnacentral:rRNA from 1 species
UUGAACGCUGGCGGCAGGCCUAACCCAUGCCAGUCGCGCGGUAGAGAGAAGCUUGCUUCUCUUGAGAGCGGCGGACGGGUGAGUAAUGCCUAGGAAUCUGCCUGGUAGUGGGGGAUAACGUUCGGAAACGGACGCUAAUACCGCAUACGUCCUACGGGAGAAAGCAGGGGACCUUCGGGCCUUGCGCUAUCAGAUGAGCCUAGGUCGGAUUAGCUAGUUGGUGGGGUAAUGGCUCACCAAGGCGACGAUCCGUAACUGGUCUGAGAGGAUGAUCAGUCACACUGGAACUGAGACACGGUCCAGACUCCUACGGGAGGCAGCAGUGGGGAAUAUUGGACAAUGGGCGAAAGCCUGAUCCAGCCAUGCCGCGUGUGUGAAGAAGGUCUUCGGAUUGUAAAGCACUUUAAGUUGGGAGGAAGGGCAGUAAAUUAAUACGUUGCUGUUUUGACGUUACCGACAGAAUAAGCACCGGCUAACUCUGUG